GUUAAAUCUUGGAUCCACAUUUCCCAUUGUAAACUGACAAGCGCUGGAAAAGAUUUUUUCACUGGAAGAAGAAUAGAGGACUAAGGAAGCCGUUUUCCCUUCUAAAAAGGGGUACUUUUUAAGGGGAGUAUCUUUCUAAUCCAAAGUCAAUUUUCUUCAUGAAUCUCAAACUGGUUAAACUUAUAUUGUCCUUAAUGAUUGUCAUUAUGACAUUUUUUUUAUUUUUCAUCCUCUACACUACGUUAGCUUUUUUUUUUUCUUUAAUACACGUGUAGCUUGGGCCAGGGAGCCAAGUAUUUUUCUUCUUGGGAGAUAGAUAAUCAUUUCGUUAAAACAGCUACUGAAUUGUAAAAAUUGUCAAACAAAAGUAAUCAUUGUUGGGUUUGUGGGUUUGCUCCGCAUUCCAUGAACUAUGGUUAUCCUUUUGUGGGGGUGCCAUGGUCUAUGGAAUCUUUAUGGGUCUUUGUGAGAAAAUAAGAGCAAAUAAAACAGGGUUUGUUGGAUUUAUUCAGAAUGAAGUAUCCAAAUCUGAGGAACCUGCUAAGGUUCAUUUAACAUAUCCUAUUACUAGCGGAGCAGUAGUAAUUUCUAACAGGGAUCAGAAAAGUCCUGACAAGAUUGUUAAGCCUAUAAGCAAUGCUAUUGUUAUUUUUGAAAACAAUGUCCUUUAUAAUCUAUGUGGGUCUGAAACUAAUUCUGCCCCUUGUACUGGUAGAUUGAAAGCUUUUUGUUGGAAACCCUUAUUAGAAGAUAUUUUAACAAAAUGUCC